CACGUAGGGCGCAAGCGUUGUCCGGAAUUAUUGGGCGUAAAGAGCUCGUAGGCGGUCUGUUGCGUCCGCUGUGAAAACUCGGGGCUUAACCCCGAGCCUGCAGUGGAUACGGGCAGACUAGAGGUAGGUAGGGGAGAACGGAAUUCCUGGUGUAGCGGUGAAAUGCGCAGAUAUCAGGAGGAACACCGGUGGCGAAGGCGGGUCUCUGGACCGAUACUGACGCUGAGGAGCGAAAGCGUGGGGAGCGAACAGG
rnacentral:rRNA from 1 species